rnacentral:lncRNA from 1 species
CUACCGUGCUUAAUUUCGUUUGUAUGGGGGGGUUAUCUCCUGUCGUUAUAAGCUCAUACCAAAAGAAAAAUAUGCAAGUAUGAAAAAUAUGCAAGUAUGAAACCUUUAUUUAAGGCGUAGCUAUUGGUAAUACAUCCGUAGAUUUUUCGAGUUCCAUGGUCGCGGAAGCUCUGCUCCUUCGAGCUCUUUUAAAUAGUAUGUUCUGGGUCAGACUACCUCCUUGACUUCAUACGGGCCUUCCCAGUUCGGGGCAAG